rnacentral:rRNA from 1 species
GACGAACGCUGGCGGCGUGCUUAACACAUGCAAGUCGAACGGUGAAGCGUCUUCCUUUUUGGUGGGUGUGGAUGAGUGGCGAACGGGUGAGUAACACGUGAGUAACCUGCCCCCUUCUUCUGGAUAACCGCAUGAAAGUGUGGCUAAUACGGGAUAUUCUGGGUCUGUCGCAUGAUGGGUCUGGGAAAGAUAUUGUUUCGGUGGGGGAUGGGCUCGCGGCCUAUCAGCUUGUUGGUGGGGUGAUGGCCUACCAAGGCGGUGACGGGUAGCCGGCCUGAGAGGGUGGACGGUCACACUGGGACUGAGACACGGCCCAGACUCCUACGGGAGGCAGCAGUGGGGAAUAUUGCACAAUGGGCGCAAGCCUGAUGCAGCGACGCCGCGUGAGGGAUGGAGGCCUUCGGGUUGUGAACCUCUUUCGCCAGUGAAGCAGGCCUGCCUCGUUUGUGGGUGGGUUGACGGUAGCUGGAUAAGAAGCGCCGGCUAACUACGUG